rnacentral:rRNA from 1 species
GAUGAACGCUGGCGGCGUGCCUAAUACAUGCAAGUCGAGCGAAUGGAUUAAGAGCUUGCUCUUAUGAAGUUAGCGGCGGACGGGUGAGUAACACGUGGGUAAACUGCCCAUAAGACUGGGAUAACUCCGGGAAACCGGGGCUAAUACCGGAUAACAUUUUGAACCGCAUGGGUCGAAAUUGAAAGGCGGCUUCGGCUGUCACCUAUGGAUGGGCCCGCGUCGCAUCCGCUAGUUGGUGAGGUAACGGCUCACCAAGGCAACGCUGCGUAGACGACCUGAGAGGGUGAUCGGCCACACGGGGGCUGAGACACGGCCCAGACUCCUACGGGAGGCAGCAGUAGGGAAUCUUCCGCAAUGGACGAAAGUCUGACGGAGCAACGCCGCGUGAGUGAUGAAGGCUUUCGGGUCGUAAAACUCUGUUGUUAGGGAAGAACAAGUGCUAGUUGAAUAAGCUGACACCUUGACGGUACCUAACCAGAAAGCCACGGCUAACUACGUGCCAGCCGCCGCGGUAA